rnacentral:rRNA from 1 species
CAGGAUUAGAUACCCUGGUAGUCCACGCCGUAAACGAUGUCGACUUGGAGGUUGUGCCCUUGAGGCGUGGCUUCCGGAGCUAACGCGUUAAGUCGACCGCCUGGGGAGUACGGCCGCAAGGUUAAAACUCAAAUGAAUUGACGGGGGCCCGCACAAGCGGUGGAGCAUGUGGUUUAAUUCGAUGCAACGCGAAGAACCUUACCUGGUCUUGACAUCCACAGAACUUUCCAGAGAUGGAUUGGUGCCUUCGGGAACUCUGAGACAGGUGCUGCAUGGCUGUCGUCAGCUCGUGUUGUGAAAUGUUGGGUUAAGUCCCGCAACGAGCGCAACCCUUAUCCUUUGUUGCCAGCGGUCCGGCCGGGAACUCAAAGGAGACUGCCAGUGAUAAACUGGAGGAAGGUGGGGAUGACGUCAAGUCAUCAUGGCCCUUACGACCAGGGCUACACACGU